UGUGAAUUUAACUUAUACCUGUGGGCUAAAUACAGAAUAAGUGCAGCCCAGGCACUAGGAACGUGGGCAUCAGAACUAGAGCACGUGGGUUCUAAAUCCAGCGCCAAAGACUCACUAGCUGUGUGACCACAGGAAUAUUCCUGAACCCCUCUGUGGCUCAUCUUUGUCAACUGUAAAAGGGGAUUACCAUAUACUGUAUUCCCUACCACCUGCAAAGCUGUGAGGAUUAAGUAACUGAAUACAAAUACAAUCCUUAUUGCUUAGUAAAUAUUAGUUAUUAAUGUGGGUUGAACAACAUGAAAUUACCAUUCUGAAAGUCGCAAACAGUCAAAUAUUAGCAAAUUCAUUUGAUUUUACAUUUGUCGAAACAUGAAUCUAGUGGCGUUUUCCUGUUUCCCCAUUCAGCCUCCCCUGAAGAAGACCCAUCUUCUCUACCUUUGGUGUACAGUGAACACAGUUUUAUCAGCGCUCUUGGACAAGAUUCCAAUAUGCUGUUUCUGCAAGGAAAAAUAAGCCCACUUUACAACUAAUCUCUGG
rnacentral:lncRNA from 1 species